CUAGAUUGGCCCAGACUCCUACGGGAGGCAGCAGUGGGGAAUAUUGCACAAUGGGCGAAAGCCUGAUGCAGCGACGCCGCGUGAGGGAUGACGGCCUUCGGGUUGUAAACCUCUUUCAGCAGGGAAGAAGCGACUGGGUUUUCCCGGACGUGACGGUACCUGCAGAAGAAGCGCCGGCUAACUACGUGCCAACAGCCGCGGUAAUACGUAGGGCGCAAGCGUUGUCCGGAAUUAUUGGGCGUAAAGAGCUCGUAGGCGGUUUGUCGCGUCGACUGUGAAAACUCAGGGGCUCAACUCCGAGCUUGCAGUUGAUACGGGCAGACUAGAGUUCGGCAGGGGGGACUGGAAUUCCUGGUGUAGCGGUGAAAUGCGCAGAUAUCAGGAGGAACACCGGUGGCGAAGGCGGGUCUCUGGGCCGAUACUGACGCUGAGGAGCGAAAGCGUGGGGAGCGAACAGGAUUAGAUACCCUGGUAGUCCACGCCGUAAACGUUGGGCGCUAGGUGUGGGGUCCCUUCCACGGGUUCCGUGCCGCAGCUAACGCAUUAAGCGCCCCGCCUGGGGAGUGCGGCCGCAAGGCUAAAACUCAAAGGAAUUGACGGGGGCCCGCACAAGCGGCGGAGCAUGUGGCUUAAUUCGAUGCAACGCGAAGAAACCUUACCAAGGCUUGACAUGUGCRGAAAUCCGGCAGAGAUGUCGGGUCCGCAAGGGCUGCGCACAGGUGGUGCACGGUU
rnacentral:rRNA from 1 species